GAGAACUCAUUCUCCUGGAGACUGAAGCGUUUGGCGGCAGAUGAGGAUCUCCAAGGGCAGCACGGGGAAACCGGUAUGCUCAGGCUCAUGGAUUCAAGGCCAGUUUCCUCAACCCCAGAUGGUUUUCAGCCAGAACGGGUGAAGAAGCUCCACUGACAAUUGCUCCCGGGUCGUCUGCCUGGCACCCAGAGGAGGUCUGGGGGGUCGGCCAGUACACCCCGAAGCCCUGGAGAAGGCACCUGCAUAGCCUGUCAAGAAUUGGGCGGAGGACUGUCAGUGUAUCUAUGCCAUUCUUCUUUGAAAAGCAGAGCUUUCAGAGUGUCGGUUCUCCCAGAGGCGUGAGUGUGCGGCGAUGUAGCUGUGGUCCUCAGCCGGGGACGGAGGGCACGGUCAGAAACACAAAUCUUCAACAUCACUAGCACGGCCAUCCUCCACCGAGGUAACGCAACGACUUAGGGUGGGACCGACGGACGAGCUCCAGUGAUAGCUCAGACUGAUGCUCCUGGUUCGCGUACCGUUUUGUCCAUCGAGACCUCGGCAGUGAGUCCCCCCAAGUUGCAUGUCCAGGUGGUUCUGGGACCCGGCAGGAAGUCCCACAACCUCGAGGCUUGGCAGUGCACAGGUUGGGGUGGGAAAACUUGGACUAGCAAUUACACUCUCUCCAGAGGCCACCUAUUGCCUUUCCCCGGGCUUGAGAACCAUUCCUCCACCGUUUGGACUGUCAGGUGAAUCCUUAGCUUUGCCCCACUAUUGAGAUGGAGCUGCAGGCUGUACCUCUACCACCUAGGGAAGGUACUGGUUUUGUGUAUGCAUGAAUGACGGUGGAGCAGGUUAGCCGGAUGGGGGGGAUAGAAGAAUGAGGAAGCGUAUGCCACUGUGAAACGAAAGCCGCUUUGGGAAGUGGGGUGUGGGGCUCUGUGCGGGGCACUGCUCUGUCAGAUUUGGUCGUGGGACUGAAGAUCCGGGGCCUUGACCUCUAUGGAGGGAUCUAGGUCCCCCCUUCAGAGUCACCCUAUGCGUACUCAGUCCUCAAAGAAGGGACUCCUCUCCUGUCUGUUGAACAAUAGGUUGAUUUGAGAGGGUGGGGCGUGGAGGAAAGUCUGUUUUGGAGUAGCUGCAUUGUUUGAAUCUCCUGCCGUUUCCUCUCAACUAGCAGGAGCACCAUCAGACCCCUCAUGCCACGGAGGGCUGUGGUGGAGAAUCCAGGCACUAGAAACCCCUCAAGGAUCUGCUAGCCAGUGAGAAUACAUACAGUGAGAAUACAUGGAGAAGCAGCGUGGUGCAGUGGAAAGAGCACGGGCU